CCUACGGGAGGCAGCAGUGAGGAAUAUUGGUCAAUGGGCGGAAGCCUGAACCAGUCAAGUCGCGUGAGGGAUUAAGGCCCUGCGGGUCGUAAACCUCUUUUGCCGGGGAGCAGAGGUCCGGACGUGUCCGGGCCGGGAGAGUACCCGGAGAAAAAGCAUCGGCUAACUCCGUGCCAGCAGCCGCGGUAAUACGGAGGAUGUGAGCGUUAUCCGGAUUUAUUGGGUUUAAAGGGUGCGUAGGCGGGCAUUUAAGCCGGCGGUCAAAUGUCGGGGCUCAACCCCGGCCUGCCGUUGGAACCGGGUGCCUUGAGUGGGCGAGAAGUAUGCGGAAUGCGUGGUGUAGCGGUGAAAUGCAUAGAUAUCACGCAGAACCCCGAUUGCGAAGGCAGCAUACCGGCGCCCUACUGACGCUGAGGCACGAAAGUGCGGGUAUCGAACAGGAUUAGAUACCCUGGUAGUC
rnacentral:rRNA from 1 species